rnacentral:rRNA from 1 species
UACGUAGGGGCUAGCGUUGUCCGGAUUUAUUGGGUUUAAAGGGUGCGUAGGCGGUCAGCACAAGUCAGUUGUGAAAUCUCCGGGCUUAACUCGGAAAGGUCAACUGAUACUGUGCGACUAGAGUGCAGAAGGGGCAACUGGAAUUCUCGGUGUAGCGGUGAAAUGCGUAGAUAUCGAGAGGAACACCUGCGGCGAAGGCGGGUUGCUGGGCUGACACUGACGCUGAUGCGCGAAAGCCAGGGGAGCAAACGGG